rnacentral:SRP_RNA from 1 species
GCUGGGCAUGGUGGCGCAUGCCUGUAAUCCCAGCUACUCGGGAGACUGAGGCAGGAGAAUUGCUUGAACCCGGGAGGCAGAGGUUGCAGUGGGCCAAGAUGGUGCCACUACACUCCAGCCUGGGUGACAAAGCAAGACUCUGUCUCAA